UACGGGGGGGCAAGCGUUGUUCGGAAUUACUGGGCGUAAAGGGCUCGUAGGCGGCCAACUAAGUCGGACGUGAAAUCCCCAGGCUCAACCUGGGAACUGCGUCCGAUACUGGAUGGCUUGAAUUCGGGAGAGGGAUGCAGAAUUCCAGGUGUAGCGGUGAAAUGCGUAGAUAUCUGGAGGAAUACCGGUGGCGAAGGCGGCAUCCUGGACCGACAUUGACGCUGAGGAGCGAAAGCUAGGGGAGCAACGGG
rnacentral:rRNA from 1 species